CGUAUUUAAGUCGUCUGCAAA
rnacentral:siRNA from 1 species